AUCGUGGGUAAUGGGACUUCUUGCCGCUUCUGGACCGACCCGUGGCUUGAGGGCAACUCCAUCUCGACCCUUGCUCCCGCCCUGGUGGCCCUUGUCCCGCCCAGGAGGCGACGCACCCACAUGGUGGCCACGACGCUUAUCGAUCGCGCGUGGAUCUCUAACAUCCAGGGAUCACUUGGUCAAGCGGCCACCCUUGAGUACGUUGACAUUUGGCGCAAGGUUCAGCACGUGGUUCUCUCGUCCCAGCCUGAUAUCCUUCGUUGGAAAUGGACUGAGAAUGGUGUGUACUCGGCAUCCUCCUGCUAUGCUGCCCUAUUCAACGGCUCCACAACACCCGAGCACUGGCGACUGAUUGGAAGUCCAGCGCGCCCCUUUCGGUGA
rnacentral:rRNA from 1 species